GAGAAGCGCGCCUCCUCCUUGUCCUCUCCACCAAGCAGCGCUGCUUUGACUACGUUGACUGCCCUGCACCGCCUACGCCCUAUGCUUCACCGCCCGAUCAGCCCCGCCUCCUCUCCUUCUCAACCAACGGCAAGCUGCUAAAGAGAAAGAACAAGAUGUCGAGGUCCUACGGUGGCUACGGUGGGGCGCACUGGUGUAGCCCAUACGAGCGACACAGGAGUGAGCGACCAGGAACCAAAAGAUGCUGCCAGUAUUUAGUAGUCAGGUCAGCAAACCUGUCUUGGUAGUUCCAUCACCGAAAUGAGGUGCCGUAUGGAUUUGUUCUCUCUUCUCAUACAUAAUCCAGAUUGAUAUUAUCUUUCGCGUGAUUUUGUGUUGAUGUGUGAUCCAGAAUUUGGACACAUACCCAUGUGCUAGAAGGAUCUGGUGUAGCUUGUUUAAUCAAUGCUAGACCAGUUUACAUGUACUUCUGAAUUUUUCAUCGGUUGUACUUGCAUAUUGGAAU